rnacentral:rRNA from 1 species
GUAAGGAAUAUUGGACAAUGGACGCAAGUCUGAUCCAGCCAUGCCGCGUGAAGGAUUAAGGUCCUCUGGAUUGUAAACUUCUUUUAUAAGGGACGAAAAAAGGCUUUUCUAAGUCGUCUGACGGUACCUUAUGAAUAAGCACCGGCUAACUCCGUGCCAGCAGCCGCGGUAAUACGGAGGGUGCAAGCGUUAUCCGGAUUCACUGGGUUUAAAGGGUGCGUAGGCGGGCAGGUAAGUCAGUGGUGAAAUCCUAGAGCUUAACUCUAGAACUGCCAUUGAUACUAUCUGUCUUGAAUAUUGUGGAGGUAAGCGGAAUAUGUCAUGUAGCGGUGAAAUGCUUAGAUAUGACAUAGAACACCUAUUGCGAAGGCAGCUUACUACGCAUAUAUUGACGCUGAGGCACGAAAGCGUGGGGAUCAAACAGGAUUAGAUACCCGAGUAGUCC